rnacentral:lncRNA from 1 species
CUAGUACUUUAUAGGCUUGAGUUUCAUUGAACCAUACCAAUGAAUAACCACUUUGACAACAUCCAAACACGACAUGAGAGAGUUUUGCAAAUUUUAGCAGACAAAAAUUUCAUUGAGUGGAAUAGCCAAUACCUAGUAGAACAACCACCAAACCUGUCUAGAUAAAAGGAUUCAUGCAGUUGGUUCAUGCCAAAAAUAGAAAAGCUUGAGCACUAUGCUUGCUUGAAAUGUCACCAACCUUUUGACGCAGAGGUAAACAUUUGUGAGUGCGUUUUACGC